rnacentral:lncRNA from 1 species
CUUGUUUGAAACCCCCUUGAGCCUAUUCUCCCUUUUUUGUUUAAAACUCAUUACAAGCCGAGAAGUGAAAAACAAUAUUAUCACCCUAUUCAAAGGGUUGAAAGAGUCUUGUUUGGAGUUAUGUGGGGUUGAAUAAUUAUGUUUGUAAUAUUUCAGAAGAUGGCAGAAAAAGAAAAAAAAUAGAAAAGAAAAAAAAAUGAAUGAAAAAAUAGAAGGAUAAGAGGAAGAAAACAAAGGAAUUAUGUUUGUAAUAUUUCAAUACAUGUCAAUACAUACUCCUUCAAAAAAAAUGAAUAAAAAGAGGAAGGAGAAGAGAAAACAAUUGCUAUAAAGUUGUUCAAGUGAAUGAAAUAUUUUAUAAAUUCAACUCCCACAGUUUCUU